rnacentral:rRNA from 1 species
GCUACGGGAGGCAGCAGUGAGGAAUAUUGGUCAAUGGACGAGAGUCUGAACCAGCCAAGUAGCGUGAAGGAUGACUGCCCUAUGGGUUGUAAACUUCUUUUAUAAAGGAAUAAAACGAGGCACGUGUGCCUUUUUGCAUGUACUUUAUGAAUACGGAUCGGCUAACUCCGUGCCAGCAGCCGCGGUAAUACGGGGGAUCCGAGCGUUAUCCGGAUUUAUUGGGUUUAAAGGGAGCGUAGAUGGGUUGUUAAGUCAGUUGUGAAAGUUUGCGGCUCAACCGUAAAAUUGCAAUUGAUACUGGCAGUCUUGAGUACAGUUGAGGUAGGCGGAAUUCGUGGUGUAGCGGUGAAAUGCUUAGAUAUCAAGAAGAACCCCGAUUGCGAAGGCAGCUUACUAAACUGUGACUGACAUUGAUGCUCGAAAGUGUGGGUAUCAAACAGGAUUAGAUACCCGGGUAGUC